rnacentral:rRNA from 1 species
CCUACGGGAGGCAGCAGUGGGGAAUAUUGCACAAUGGGGGAAACCCUGAUGCAGCGACGCCGCGUGAGCGAUGAAGUAUUUCGGUAUGUAAAGCUCUAUCAGCAGGGAAGAAAAUGACGGUACCUGACUAAGAAGCCACGGCUAACUACGUGCAAGCAGCCGCGGUAAUACGGAGGGGGCCAGCGUUAUCCGGAUUUACUGGGUGUAAAGGGAGCGUAGACGGCUUGGCAAGCCAGAUGUGAAAGGUUGGGGCUCAACCCCAGGAUUGCAUUUGGAACUGGCAGGCUAGAGUGUCGGAGAGGCAGGCGGAAUUCCUAGUGUAGCGGUGAAAUGCGUAGAUAUUAGGAGGAACACCAGUGGCGAAGGCGGCCUGCUGGACGACGACUGACGUUGAGGCUCGAAAGCGUGGGGAGCAAACAGGAUUAGAUACCCCAGUAGUC